rnacentral:rRNA from 1 species
UACGAAGGGUGCAAGCGUUGUUCGGAAUUACUGGGCGUAAGGGGUUCGUAGGCGGGAAUGUAAGUUGAAUGUGAAAACCCCGGGCUUAACCUGGGACGUGCAUCCAAAACUGCGUUUCUUGAGUGUCUGAGAGGGUCGUGGAAUUGCUGGUGUAGGAGUGACAUCCGUAGAGAUCAGCAGGAACACCGGAGGCGAAAGCGACGACCUGGCAGAACACUGACGCUGAGGAACGAAAGCGUGGGGAGCAAACAGG